rnacentral:rRNA from 1 species
UGGAGCGAAUAAAUGGAAAGCGGCGGACGGGUGAGUAACGCGUAGGCAACCUGCCCCUUACAGAGGGAUAGCCUCGGGAAACCGGGAUUAAAACCUCAUAAUGCAUCUAAUACACAUGUAAGAGAUGCCAAAGAUUUAUCGGUAAGGGAUGGGCCUGCGUCUGAUUAGUUAGUUGGUAGGGUAACGGCCUACCAAGGCAACGAUCAGUAGCCGACCUGAGAGGGUAAUCGGCCACAUUGGAACUGAGACACGGUCCAAACUCCUACGGGAGGCAGCAGUGGGGAAUAUUGCACAAUGGGCGAAAGCCUGAUGCAGCAACGCCGCGUGAGCGAAGAAGGCCUUUGGGUCGUAAAGCUCUGUUGAGAGGGAAGAAACAAAUGACGGUACCUCUUGAGGAAGCCCCGGCUAACUACGUGCCAGCAGCCGCGGUAAUACGUAGGGGGCAAGCGUUAUCCGGAAUUAUUGGGCGUAAAGAGUGCGUAGGUGGUCUUGUAAGCGUGGGGUGAAAGGCAGUGGCUUAACCAUUGUAAGCCCUGCGAACUGUGAGACUUGAGUGCAGGAGAGGAAAGCGGAAUUCCUAGUGUAGCGGUGAAAUGCGUAGA